GACAGAGGGGCAAGCGUUGCUCGGAAUCACUGGGCGUAAAGGGCGCGUAGGCGGGAUGGCAAGUCAGUCGUGAAAUCUCUCGGCUCAACCGAGAAACGUCGGCUGAUACUGCCGUUCUUGAGGGAUGCAGAGGAGACUGGAAUUCCCGGUGUAGCGGUGAAAUGUGUAGAGAUCGGGAGGAACACCGGUGGCGAAGGCGGGUCUCUGGGCAUUUCCUGACGCUGAGGCGCGAAAGCGUGGGGAGCGAACGGG
rnacentral:rRNA from 1 species